UGCUUUGAUGGGUUAUCCAAAAAGCAAUAUAAUAAAUUGUACUUUUCUUUUGCAGACUCCAGAAGGGAUGGUAAGGGCAGGCCUAAUUGUGAAUCUUGUGACAAUGGAUAUGGUCUGAACUAUCCGAAGAAACGGAGGCAAUGGCAAAAUAGACCAUUGAGAACACAGGCACAGGCUAACCCAGCAAACAACCCCUUUGGACAGGGGAAUGAUGAAGAACUCUGGAAUGGGUAUGACAGAUCUGGUAAAACAAGAGGUAAGUAGAACAAGAACCACUAAUAUCACUUAUACUGGAGUUCAAAUAUAAUUUCUGAUCAAAGUUGAUCCUAUAUAGGAUGUACAAUUAAAUUAUAAAUGUAUUCAAUUGUAGAACAAGUUUGAAUGUUUUGAAUUGUGGUUCUCUCUCCAGGAGCAAAUGGAAGAAACAAAAGGUACUGACUGACCAGAGACUGUCAAACUAUUUUUUAACCCCCUAUUUAUAGGCCUACCUAAGACAAUAAAUAAACUUUUUAUAUAAAUCUGUGGUCUUUGUCUUUGAGGGGAGGCUUAUUAAAUGACAAUUGGAAAAUGGGUACAGUGCUUUUGAGGUAGUUCUGACCAUGUCAUUCUGUAGACUCGUGUUUACUAUUUUGAAAGAAAGGUGCACCAGAGCUGUGUAAUACAUUGUCCCAGGGCUGUUGCUGAGGUGGGGGAAAAGU
rnacentral:lncRNA from 1 species